rnacentral:lncRNA from 1 species
CAAGUAGCUGUGAAAUUUCUUCUGAAGAAAACGCACAAGGAGGACGCAAGUGAGCUCAGUGGAGGAGGGGUACUACCCCAGGGGACGUCCACAUACAUGGACUUGUGAACCCCGAAUAUCUGAGAUGGUCUCAGUCAAUUUAGAAAGUUUAUUUUGGGAAGGUUGAGGACGCACGCCCAUGACACAGCCUCAGGAGGUCUUGACGACAUGUGCCCAACGUGGUCGGGACACAGCUUGGUUUUAUACAUUUUAGGGAGACAGGAGACAUCAAUAUAUGUAAGAUGAACGUUGGUUUCGUCGGGAAAGGUGGGACAACUCGAAGCAGGGAGGGGGAUUCCAGGUCACAGGUAGGUGAGAGACAAACUGUUGUAUUCUUUUGGGUUUCUGAAUAGCCUCCCCAAAGGAGGCCAUCAGAUAUGCACUUAUCUCAGUGAGCAGAGGGGUGACUUUGAAUAGAAGGGGAGGCAGGUUUGCCCUAAGCAGUUUCCAGCUUUUUUUCCUUUAGAUUAGUGAUUUUUGGGCCCUCAGACUAAUUUUCCUUUCACAGGCUAAGCAGCUUUAGGAACUGAAAGGUUCAUGAGGCUGUAAGGAAGAGUCGAGUUGCUCCAGAUCCUGCGAGGAGGCGGCUACACACGUGCAGAAGUCAUGCUGGUGGCCUGGACUCCGAAGGGAGAGAAGUGGGUUUGAGAGACAUUUAGGAGGUAGGAUUGCCAGGGCCUUGGUGAUAGCUUGGAUGUGGAGGGCGGAGCAGGAGGGGUGUCAAGCAGAUAUUGCUCUUAGAUUACCACCUGGGAUAUUAGGGAGAGUGAGUGGGCUGGUUUUUCUUUGUUAGGCAGAACUUGAUUUUGUGGUGCAGUGGGGCGCCUCAAACCAAAGGCCUGACUUCCUCGUAC